rnacentral:tRNA from 1 species
UCAUACAUUUUUUUUUUUGUUUUUUUUUCAUACUGGUCCCCCGUGGGAAUCAAACCCACAACCCUGGCAUUGCAAACACCAUGCUCUACCAACUGAGCUACAGGAGACUAAACAGGAGGUGGAGGCGGUGUCAUCCUCAAAGCUGUGCGGAAUAAGGUCACGGAUCUCCAAGUUCUUCAAGGAAAAAGCCAGAGCCAGGGAGUCCUAUAGUAGCAUAAACAGUGGAGGACAAUGCACCCUUCUCCUUUGUGAGACCCCCAUGUACGAGAUGAAACAGUGUUAUAAACCAAAUAAAAAUGUCUUCGUCUUGGCAGCCCCACCG